rnacentral:rRNA from 1 species
CAAUGGACGCAAGUCUGAACCAGGCAUGCCGUGUGCAGGAUGAAUGCCCUAUGGGUUGUAAACUGCAUCUCUACGAGAAGAAACUUCCUGAUGUAUCAGGAACUGACGGUAUUGUACGAAUAAGCAUCGGCUAACUCCGUGCCAGCAGCCGGGGUAGUACGGAGGAUGCCAGCGUUAUCCGGAUUCAUCGCGUUUAAAGGGUGCGUACGCGGGGUAGUAAGUCAGUGGUGAAAGCCUGCGGCUUAACCGUAGAAUUGGCAUUGAUACUGCUAUUCUUGAGUGCAGAUGAGGUAGGCGGAAUGUGUAAUGUAGCGGUGAAAUGCUUAGAUAUGACACAGAACACCGAUUGCGUAGGCCGCUUACUAAACUGUAACUGACGCUGAGGCACGAAAGCGUGGGGAGCGAACAGGAUUAGAUACCCUGGUAGUCCACGCUGUAAACUAUGAUCACUCGCUGAUUGGCGAUACAUUGUCACGCGGCUGAGCGAAAGCAUUAAGUGAUUCCACCUGGGGAGUACGGCCGCAAGGUUGAAACUUCUAGGAAUUGACGGGGGCCCGCACAAGCGGUGGAACAUGUGGUUUAAUUAGAUGAUACGCGAGGAACCUUACCUGGGCUUAAAUGCAGCACGACGUACCGGGAAACUGGUACUCCCUUCGGGGCGGACUGCAAGGUACUGCAUGGUUGCUCGUCAGCUCGUGCCGUAGAGGUGUCGGGUUAAGUCCCAUAACGAGCGCAACCCUCAUUGUUAGUUGCCAGCGAGUAAUGUCGGGGACUGUAAUUAGUUACUGACCGGUGUCAAUCCGUUGAGGAAGGUGGGGAUGAUCGUCAAAUCAGCUCUGGCCCUUAUGUCUAGGGCUACACAUGUGUUAUCUAUGUUACUAGGACAAACGUCGGCUACCACGCGAGUGGAUGGUAAUCUGUAAAGUUGGUCUCAGUUCGGAUUGAAGUCUGCAACUCGACUUCAUGAAGCUGGAAUCGCUAGCAAUCGCGCAUCAGCCAUGGCGCGGUGAAUACGUUCCCGGGCCUUGUACACACCGCCCGUCAAGCCAUGGAAGCUUGGGGUACCU